GGCGUGCCUAAUACAUGCAAGUCGAGCGGACAGAUGGGAGCUUGCUCCCUGAUGUUAGCGGCGGACGGGUGAGUAACACGUGGGUAACCUGCCUGUAAGACUGGGAUAACUCCGGGAAACCGGGGCUAAUACCGGAUGCUUGUUUGAACCGCAUGGUUCAAACAUAAAAGGUGGCUUCGGCUACCACUUACAGAUGGACCCGCGGCGCAUUAGCUAGUUGGUGAGGUAAUGGCUCACCAAGGCGACGAUGCGUAGCCGACCUGAGAGGGUGAUCGGCCACACUGGGACUGAGACACGGCCCAGACUCCUACGGGAGGCAGCAGUAGGGAAUCUUCCGCAAUGGACGAAAGUCUGACGGAGCAACGCCGCGUGAGUGAUGAAGGUUUUCGGAUCGUAAAGCUCUGUUGUUAGGGAAGAACAAGUACCGUUCGAAUAGGGCGGUACCUUGACGGUACCUAACCAGAAAGCCACGGCUAACUACGUGCCAGCAGCCGCGGUAAUACGUAGGUGGCAAGCGUUGUCCGGAAUUAUUGGGCGUAAAGGGCUCGCAGGCGGUUCCUUAAGUCUGAUGUGAAAGCCCCCGGCUCAACCGGGGAGGGUCAUUGGAAACUGGGGAACUUGAGUGCAGAAGAGGAGAGUGGAAUUCCACGUGUAGCGGUGAAAUGCGUAGAGAUGUGGAGGAACACCAGUGGCGAAGGCGACUCUCUGGUCUGUAACUGACGCUGAGGAGCGAAAGCGUGGGGAGCGAACAGGAUUAGAUACCC
rnacentral:rRNA from 1 species